rnacentral:sRNA from 1 species
CGUCAGCGACCCCACUGUCUGUCCGCUUCCUGGCCACAGCAAGAAUCCAAUCACCGUUGGCUCACCCAACGU